rnacentral:rRNA from 1 species
GAGUUUGAUCCUGGCUCAGGAUGAACGCUGGCGGCGUGCCUAAUACAUGCAAGUCGAACGAAUCUUCUUCGGAAGAUGAGUGGCGAACGGGUGAGUAAUACAUAGGUAACCUGCCCCUGUGCGGGGGAUAACAGGAGGAAACUCCUGCUAAUACCGCAUAGCCAUGAGCACCGCAUGGAGCUCAUGCCAAAUAUCCUUCAGGGGAUAGCGCAGGGAUGGACCUAUGGCGCAUUAGCUAGUUGGCGGGGCAACGGCCCACCAAGGCAACGAUGCGUAGCCGGCCUGAGAGGGCGGACGGCCACAUUGGGACUGAGACACGGCCCAGACUCCUACGGGAGGCAGCAGUAGGGAAUUUUCGGCAAUGGGGGAAACCCUGACCGAGCAACGCCGCGUGAGCGAAGAAGGCCUUCGGGUCGUAAAGCUCUGUUGUAAAGGAAGAACGUCGCAUGCAGGAAAUGGUGUGCGAGUGACGGUACUUUACCAGAAAGCCACGGCUAACUACGUGCCAGCAGCCGCGGUAAUACGUAGGUGGCGAGCGUUAUCCGGAAUCAUUGGGCGUAAAGAGGGAGCAGGCGGCCGCAAGGGUCUGUGGUGAAAGACCGAAGCUAAACUUCGGUAAGCCAUGG